AACAGGAUCUAUUCUUGCACACCACCUUCUGCUACUGCCUCCUCCUCCUUCCCAUCUCCAUUCCUGCUCAUAGAGAAUUUUAGCAUUGGGUAGGUAGAGAAAUAACUCAGGAGGCUGGAAGUGGAGGGCUGCUGAAGGCUGCUACUGCUACUACUGCUGCUGCUGCUGAUUGCAUAUGUUGGGGUAAUUUCAUCCCUGUGCAAAAAGACCCAAGCUUCAGUUGCAAACCAGCUUGCUGAAGUUAACCAUCCAUCCCAACCCUAUCAAGUUUGGCCCACCGAGGGCCCUCUCAAACAUUAAGAUUUUCUCUGGUUAUUCGGGUCAAGAAGAUAACAGAAUUCCCAUUUUCACUGUUUAAAAACUGAAUAUCACUGAGAAGCAACUGAAAAUUGGAUGUAUUCAAGGCUGAAACUGCUCUUUUCAUGUUUAGUAAAUCUAGAUAGGUAUCUUUUCCAGUUUAUGAUGUAGUUGUAGACACUUACUGUGGAGUUGCUGAGACAAGAAUAGACAUUCAGGAUUGGCCCCUAGUCAUUAACUGCCAGAGCAGGCUGGACUCUGGCCUGGUGGGGAGAAUCCACCAAGUGAAGUCCAUCUGACUUUGCUUUCUGUGAAAAAAUAGCAUUCUCCAGAAGCAGCCUCUCCCUCCGAAGACUAAAUUCCAUCGCCUUCAAUUCAGACACAUUUCAGCUUUCUGGAAAGAGGAUGCUUGAUGAUCAACAUACCUCAUCUAGCUGGAGCCCCUGAUACUCAAGAAGACCAAGGGAGGACUUUCAUUCUUUUGAAAGGUAGCCAGGCCAUGUAAACCAGGGAGGUCUUUCUGAAGAGCAAAAUGUUAUUAGUCAUGAAAAUGAUUUUAAUCCCUUGUCCUAUAACUUCAAGUCUAUAAAUAAAAACUGGGUAAUGCUAAGAAUAGUAAUAAUGAUGAUGGUGAUGUCACUCUUACACAUCUGGGGUUCUAAAUCCCAGAGGUAGAAUCUAGCAGCCACAGAAAAUUUUAAAAAGUGAUUGUAUUCUUGGAGGCAUCAAAUUACUCCUAGUCUCUGUACACAAGAUGACUAUGAAUGAAGUUAAUUUUUAAACUAUUUA